AAUCUCUAGAUUUAGCUACAAUGGAGUGUUAAGACACACACAACGAAGACGCAGAAGAAUGAUUAAGGCACAAGCAGUGUCAAUGAGAUGUGGAACAAGUUGCCAACACUACAAGUUUCAAUAUGGAAGAGAAAGAACAAAGGAGGAGACAAGGAGGUUAGUGGGUCCACUGUUUGAUGAUUGGGUAGGAAACAUUUAGUGGGCCACCACUUGUCUCUUUGUCCCUCCCAUCGUGAAUCAAUCUCCUCAUUGGUUGCUACACAAAAAAAGAAACUCCUGUGGGUCGGUCACUCGCCAUUCCUUAUUCCUCUAUUACCACUUUCUAUAUUACUUCACACUCCACAAAACUCUUCUAUAAACUUAGUAAGAAGCAUAAAGCU